rnacentral:lncRNA from 1 species
CAAAAAAACAUUGGCAGUACUGGUUUUUAGGCGAUACACUAUCGUCAGCACACCUUUUUAGACGAUCGACAGGGCAGGAGUUACAACGUCCUUGGGCUGAAGUGAGUAAGCACCCUAACACAACUUUUAACUGGCUUUCUGCUAGCACUAGGCUAAUGCAGAUCACCUGUUAGAACGACUCACACGCACACCCUCAACAAGUGGCCGAGAGCGGCGACGCGGUUCCCUGUCACUUGUCCUAGGGCGGCAGGUGAAGGCGGUGAACGCCCAUCCACACCCAUCGGCCGGCCACGGCAGAGGCGGCAAACAGCCCCGGGACGCUCCGUUAUCCUCACCCUCCCGGACCCGCCAGAAUUCAGAAAUGACAUGGGCUUUGGCUGCAGACACCUGGAUGUGGGAUGGAUGAGCAGUUCUUUCCUAAUGCAUGGAGCAGUUCUUCGAGGGGCCUGUCACCAAGGCUGGCUUCAUGGAAUCCUUUCAAUAGCAGCUUUGCAGCCUAAGGAUACACCGUUUUAAGAGUCAGAACACAAGCUGGGUGCAGUGACUCACACCUGGAGUCCCAGUGGUUUGGGAAGCUGAAGCAGGAGGAUCACAAGUUCAAAGCCAGCCUCAGUGAUGGUGAGGCACUAAGCAACUCAAAAU